rnacentral:ncRNA from 1 species
GCCCUCGUCGUGUCCGGUAGCAGUAAUGCCCGGGUGGCCAGCUUAACAGCCAUAGGAGCACGUAACGAGGGCUU